AAUAAUUCUUGGUUGUAUGCUAAAAGCCUUGCAAGUAGCCCCACUGGAAGAUAGGAAGAGUGGGGCUGUUUUACAAAUGAGCACAUAUAAGCAGAACGAGGCCGCCAUAAUUGAAAUGAAGGUCCCCGUCCCGUGGAUGUGUUCAUCGCUACUUCACCCUGUCAUUCGGAUCCAAUGUGUGACCAGCCAGCUCCAAUAACAGUUCCAUACUCUGGGAAUUAUUUUUAACACUCGGCAGGAUGCUUUCUUCCUGUAGUUUUAGGCUUAGCCCUUUGUGCACUUUUGGUCUCUUUCCCUUUCAAUUUAGCAUCCAAGGAAGCGGCUGUGACCAAAGGUAGCUGUCAUGUUAAAGGACAAAGUUCAUAGUUACAGCAAAUAUUGACCCAGAGCACUAUCCUUGCCCCUUCCUCUAUAAUGUGCAAUGCAAAAAUAUGUUCUUUUAAGUACAAUAUUAAUAAGUAAGGUCUAGGAGAUUUUCUUCCCCCUUCCUUUCUCUUUUAGAUGAGUAAAUGUUUUAUCUAGUUUUGAGGAGACUAUCCUUCUUAUCACAUCUCUUUCCACUUCUGCUCUCCUUGUUUUAUAAUUUUCCUCUCCUUUGGGUCCGUGUCAUUAUUUCGUGUCGCUUGUUUUCGAGCCAUGCACUCAUUUAUCAAAUCAGAUUUCCUCCGUAUGCCGACGGCCUUCCUCUCCCUGCCACGGGCUUCCUUUUUCCCUGACUAUGCAGAAGCAAUUUGUUCGCUUGUGUUUCUUUUUUUUUUUGAGACAGAGUCUCGCUCUGUCACCCAGGCUGGAGUGCAGUGGCGACAUCUCGGCUCACUGCAACCUCCGCCUGUCAGGUUCAAGCAAUUCUCAUGCGUCAGCCUCCAGAGUAGCUGGGAUUACAGGUGUUUGCCACCAAGGCUGGCUAAUUUUUAGUAGAGACGGGGUUUCACCAUGUUGGCCAGGCUUGUCUCGAACUCCCAACAUCAGUUGAUCCACCCAUCUCGGCCUUCCAAAAUGCUGGGAUUAUAGGCAUGAACCACCGCAUCUGGCCUUGUCUUUCAUCCUUAAUGACACUUUAGUCCUAAUAAUGCUAAAAUCAUUUUCUACUCUUUGAAUUGAAACACAGCUUAUCUACAUGAGCCCAAGGCAGUAGCAACAUUCACCUCCAUUUCUUCUCUGAUCUCUACCUUCUGAACCCUGUGGACUUGGUUGUAAAUGGAUGAGGGCAAGUCUUGCUUCCUUCCCCUGUGUUUACAGAGGAUCGUGGCUGAGAUGCUGGGCCACACUCUGGGCCUGCUGGCACCCCUGGGCCGGUGGCUGCUGCCCCUCAGGGUGCUCACCACCUAGACCAGAAGAACCAAGGUGAGGGAGAGCCUGUUUUCUUUCUUCCUGUGGCUGCGGGGGCUGUGAGGCAUGGGUCUAGUGGCUGUGUUUAGCUGGGGAUGCCUCCUAGAAAUCAGCUCCACCGUUGAAGAGAUCAAAGCAAUGCACAGUGCCACUUGAAAUGAAACGAUUGAGCUUAUCAGCGCUUUUGCAAAUGUACAAGAGGGUAGCUCCCCCGGACAUCCUGAACUGAGCCAUGCUCUUCUAUUUUGUGUAACAGCCCAGUGACCCCUGAAUCUUCCCCUGAGGCAGGUCCCCGAAGCUUCAUGGAGGAUGUUCCUCAGCUGACCAAGGUGAGGCUCUUGAGCUCCUAAAUCUUUGUGAUACUGUUUAUACAUCUUUGUGCUGUACUUUUUAAGCUGACUUCGUGUUAUCACCUGUAUGAUUUUAUGUUUUGCUUCUAAAUAAGUACAGAUUAUUUUAAACUCUAAUAAUGGGUGCUACAAAAUUAAAGAUUAUGUCAAUCACUGUCU
rnacentral:lncRNA from 10 species